rnacentral:rRNA from 1 species
UGAGGAAUAUUGCACAAUGGGCGAAAGCCUGAUGCAGCGACGCCGCGUGGGUGAUGAAGGUUUUCGGAUCGUAAAACCCUUUUCUGGGUGACGAGGAAGGACGGUAGCACAGGAAUAAGUGUCGGCUAACUACGUGCCAGCAGCCGCGGUAAUACGUAGGACGCAAGCGUUAUCCGGAAUUACUGGGCGUAAAGAGCGUGUAGGCGGU